rnacentral:rRNA from 1 species
AGGACGAACGCUGGCGGCGUGCCUAACACAUGCAAGUCGAACGAGAAGUCUUUUACGGAUUCCUUCGGGGAGAAGUAAGAGAUGGACAGUGGCGGACGGGCGAGUAACGCGUGAGUAACCUGCCCAUAAGUGAGGAAUAGCCCGUGGAAACGCGGAGUAAUACCUCAUAUUGUAUAUAUCCCGCAUGGGAAAUAUAUGAAAGAUUUAUCGCUUAUGGAUGGACUCGCGUCAGAUUAGAUAGUAGGUGAGGUAACGGCUCACCUAGUCGACGAUCUGUAGCCGAACUGAGAGGUUGAUCGGCCGCAUUGGGACUGAGACACGGCCCAGACUCCUACGGGAGGCAGCAGUGGGGAAUAUUGCGCAAUGGGGGGAACCCUGACGCAGCAACGCCGCGUGCAGGAAGAAGGUCUUCGGAUUGUAAACUGUUGUCGCAAGGGAAGAAGACAGUGACGGUACCUUGUGAGAAAGUCACGGCUAACUACGUG